rnacentral:misc_RNA from 1 species
GAAAUGCCUUUGGCUCUGUCUUGUCCAAUGGAUUAUAAGCUUUGGUUUACUUGCUAUAAAGAGACUGGAAGCUAUCUCAAUGCAUCGAUACGUUGUUUUUUUGUUAAGAGUACCCACUCCUGAAGACUAUAUACAUCUUCCCCUUACAGGUUAGGCCUGUUGCCGAGAACGUGGUAAGAAGUUGUAAAAAGAAAAGCAUGUACUGUUCAGAGUCAUCUAGUGUCAUUUGGUUAGUUGGUUAAACUGAAUUUACAUGCUCAACUCCCUUGUUUUAGAUUCUACUAUUUAUGUACUAUUUUUCUUUGAGGUUGAACGGUAUGUGUCGUUCUGACUUGUUCUGCUGUUCUCAUAUUCAUAUCCAAGCAAUGGAAGAGAAUGGUCACAAGAACAACCUCCCAAGUUAUGCUUCACAAAAGCCCCUGUGAAAACAACCUUCCUUUUCAAUGGUGUACAUCCUAGUGUAUA